rnacentral:rRNA from 1 species
CAGUAGCCGCGGUAAUACGAAGGGUGCAAGCGUUACUCGGAAUUACUGGGCGUAAAGCGCACGCAGGCGGUUUGUUAAGUCAGAUGUGAAAUCCCCGAGCUUAACUUGGGAACUGCAUUUGAAACUGGCAAGCUAGAGUCUUGUAGAGGGGGGUAGAAUUCCAGGUGUAGCGGUGAAAUGCGUAGAGAUCGGGAGGAACAUCAGUGGCGAAGGCGGCCAUCUGGGACAACACUGACGCUGAAGCACGAAAGCGUGGGGAGCAAACAGGAUUAGAUACCCGCGUAGUCCCUGUCUCUUAUAC